rnacentral:rRNA from 1 species
GAUGAACGCUAGCUACAGGCUUAACACAUGCAAGUCGAGGGGAAACGACAUCGAAAGCUUGCUUUUGAUGGGCGUCGACCGGCGCACGGGUGAGUAACGCGUAUCCAACCUGCCCACCACUUGGGGAUAACCUUGCGAAAGUAAGACUAAUACCCAAUGAUAUCCCACGAAGGCAUCCGAAUGGGAUUAAAGAUUUAUCGGUGAUGGAUGGGGAUGCGUCUGAUUAGCUUGUUGGCGGGGUAACGGCCCACCAAGGCAACGAUCGGUAGGGGUUCUGAGAGGAGGGUCCCCCCACAUUGGAACUGAGACACGGUCCAAACUCCUACGGGAGGCAGCAGUGAGGAAUAUUGGUCAAUGGACGUAAGUCUGAACCAGCCAAGUAGCGUGCAGGAUUGACGGCCCUAUGGGUUGUAAACUGCUUUUUANGUGGGAAUAAAGUCAGGGACGUGUCCCUGUUUGCAUGUACCACAGGAAUAAGGACUGGCUAAUUCCGUG